GGCGGGCGCGCGCAGCCCGCCCCCUUUUCCCUCCCUCUCCGCGGGGAGAUGGCGGCCGGGCCGCGAGGGAGCAUGGAGUGGUGCCAGGCAAGGGUAAAAACACUCACCUGCCAGGGAAGCCAAUUCCUUCACUGGUCUGACAGUAAACCUGCACCAGCUGCACAAUGGAGGAAAUCGUCCUGCAGUGUCCUGCGCUUGUACUGUUGCCCAAAGACAGCUUUGGUGAGAGGGCAGCUGCUAAGUUGAGCUUCAAGCUGAUCAGUAACAUUCACUGACAGGCUGAACCAGCAAACUUGGUGACAGUGGACUUAAGAAAUCAAGAAGCAAAGGAAGGAAGAUUGUUCUGGAGUGGGUCUCACAAAUGGCCACUGAUACGUCAUUUGAAACGGUGUGAAAUGGCCACCAGUGCAUAACUACAGGCUCCUGCUCGGCGGUUGUUGCAGCCACAUCAUGGGCCCUGAUCUACAUCUGGCUGGAGGAAAAAGUGGUUCCCCGCAGUCUUCUGUUCCAGAGUAAAAUAAGUUCUGAAAAA